rnacentral:rRNA from 1 species
CCUACGGGGGACAGCAGUAGGGAAUCUUCCACAAUGGUCGGAAGCCUGAUGCAGCAACGCCGCGUGGGUGAAGAAGGUCCUCGGAACGGUAAACCCCGUUUGUCGAGGAGCAAGUGCGGGAGAGUAACUGUUCCCGUUUCGACGGUAUCUAACCAGACAGCCAAGGCUCACUACGUCACAGCCGCCGCGGUAAAGCGGAGGUGGGAAGCGUUAUCCGGAUUUAUUGGGCGUAAAGGGAACGGAGGCGGUCUUUUAAGUCUGAUGUGAAAGGCUUCGGCUUAACCGGAGGAGUGCAUUGGAAACUGGGAGACUGGAGUGGAGAAGAGGAGAGGGGAACUCGCGGUGUAGCGGUGAAAUGCGUAGAUAUCGGGAAGAACACCAGUGGCGAAGGCGGCUCGCUGGGCUGUAACUGACGCUGAGGUUCGAAAGCGUGGGUAGCAAACAGGAUUAGAUACCCGAGUAGUC